GAUGAACGCUGGCGGCGUGCCUAAUACAUGCAAGUCGAGCGAACAGACGAGGAGCUUGCUCCUCUGACGUUAGCGGCGGACGGGUGAGUAACACGUGGAUAACCUACCUAUAAGACUGGGAUAACUUCGGGAAACCGGAGCUAAUACCGGAUAAUAUAUUGAACCGCACGGUUCAAUAGUGAAAGACGGUUUUGCUGUCACUUAUAGAUGGAUCCGCGCCGCAUUAGCUAGUUGGUAAGGUAACGGCUUACCAAGGCAACGAUGCGUAGCCGACCUGAGAGGGUGAUCGGCCACACUGGAACUGAGACACGGUCCAGACUCCUACGGGAGGCAGCAGUAGGGAAUCCUCCGCAAUGGGCGAAAGCCUGACGGAGCAACGCCGCGUGAGUGAUGAAGGUCUUCGGAUCGUAAAACUCUGUUAUUAGGGAAGAACAAAUGUGUAAGUAACUAUGCACGUCUUGACGGUACCUAAUCAGAAAGCCACGGCUAACUACGUG
rnacentral:rRNA from 1 species